UCCUCAUCGCGAUUUCCAGAGAUGGAUUUCUUCAGUUCGGCUGGAUGGGUGACAGGUGCUGCAUGGCUGUCGUCAGCUCGUGUCGUGAGAUGUUGGGUUAAGUCCCGCAACGAGCGCAACCCUCGCCUUUAGUUGCCAUCAUUUAGUUGGGUACUAUAAAGGAACCGCCGGUGAUAAGCCGGAGGAAGGUGGGGAUGACGUCAAGUCCUCAUGGCCCUUACGCGCUGGGCUACACACGUGCUACAAUGGCGACUACAGUGGGCAGCGACCAUGCGAGUGGAAGCUAAUCUCCAAAAGUCGUCUCAGUUCGGAUUGUUCUCUGCAACUCGAGAGCAUGAAGGCGGAAUCGCUAGUAAUCGCGGAUCAGCAUGCCGCGGUGAAUACGUUCCCAGGCCUUGUACACACCGCCCGUCACACCAUGGGAGUUGGUUUCACCCGAAGGCAGUGCGCUAACCGCAAGGAGGCAGCUGACCACGGUGGGAUCAGCGACUGGGGUGAAGUCGUAACAAGGUAAAGGCCC
rnacentral:rRNA from 1 species